rnacentral:rRNA from 1 species
CCUACGGGUGGCAGCAGUAGGGAAUAUUGCUCAAUGGGGGAAACCCUGAAGCAGCAACGCCGCGUGGAGGAUGAAGGUUUUAGGAUUGUAAACUCCUUUUGUUAGAGAAGAUAAUGACGGUAUCUAACGAAUAAGCACCGGCUAACUCCGUGCCAGCAGCCGCGGUAAUACGGAGGGUGCCAGCGUUACUCGGAAUCACUGGGCGUAAAGGGCGCGUAGGCGGGAUAGCAAGUCAGAUGUGAAAUCCUAUGGCUUAACCAUAGAACUGCAUUUGAAACUGUUAGUCUAGAGUAUGGGAGAGGUAGGUGGAAUUCUUGGUGUAGCGGUAAAAUCCGUAGAGAUCAAGAGGAAUACUCAUUGCGAAGGCGACCUGCUAGAACAUAACUGACGCUGAUGCGCGAAAGCGUGGGGAGCAAACAGGAUUAGAUACCCUAGUAGUC